AGGAGAGAGCAGCAGCGAGAGAGGAGAAGUUAAGAACAAGACACAUGCUUCAGAUUAACUCCUAUUUCUAAACCAAUAUGCUUUUGAUGAUUGAAUUAGAUUAAAAAGAAGGAUGACCUCGGUUUUGGGGACUUGGUUUUGUGAAUCGGUGUGUUAUAUUGACCAAAUAUCUUAGUAUUUGUACAAUGCGGCAAUAUGGAUAGACUUGUCGCUGCUUUUACUGGAUUGAUAUAUCAUAUUGUAUGUAUAAUUAUUCAAUACAUAUAUACUUGCAACAACUUCUAAUCGUAAUUUCUUCUCCACCUAUAAAGAUAUAUAGAAUCAUCUUACAUAUUUUCAUGUUGAUACCUAAUUUUCAUAUCCAUACUGUUGGGGCGAGCUAAAACUACAAGGCCUCACAGUGCAUAGGGGCAUACAAUAAAGUUUUCAGGUUGACCUUUCCAACAAGUAUUAACAUAAUCAGUGGCAGGGCGCCCAUGAUCAUCCGUGAUUUGCAUUGAAGUGAGAUAAGAAUCGGGAGAGGAAGGAAAGAGAGGAGGAAGCAUAAUCUUGGGAGUAAGGAAGAUGCUGACAGCUUCUGCAUCCACAAAGUCCAUGUUCAGAAAAGGCAAAAACUAAUCCUUGAGCAAGCUUACUCCUGCAAAUGUUGACCAUCAAACAAUCCUCUUCAUGCCCUGUUGAAAAUAAUUUCUCCACCCAAUGGCAUCUAUCGAGAGCAGGUUGGGCGGCAGCUUGGCAGCCGGAGCAGGCUUCUAUACCUCGGCGUUCUAGGCCGCCGCGGCCAGGAGCUGCGUCGGGCAGGCUGGCGUCGUCGCUGAGGUUGGACACCGGCGGCAGUGUCGAUACAGGGGAGACCGGAAGCAUUGCUGGCAGCGCGAGGUCGUAUCGGAGGUGGAGGCUGCGGGGCGAGCCGUGGUGGGGAGAGGAUGCCGAGGGCGAGCCGUGGUGAGGAGAGGAGGCGGCAGGGAGAAGCAACAUGUGCGAGGCUGUGAGGUGGGCAGAGUGGAUGCUGUGCGAUGAGAGGACUGGAUUUUUUCUGAUAACUAAUGCUUCUUUAUUUUUUUUCUUGAGAAACA